UUUAUUUGGAGCAUGAUCAAA
ensembl:piRNA 21ur-9394 ncRNA